UACAGAGGUCCCAAGCGUUGUUCGGAUUCACUGGGCGUAAAGGGUGCGUAGGUGGCUUGGUAAGUUUGAUGUGAAAUCUCUGGGCUUAACCCGGAAAUGGCAUUGAAUACUAUUGAGCUGGAGGUUUGGAGGGGGGACUGGAAUUCUCGGUGUAGCAGUGAAAUGCGUAGAUAUCGAGAGGAACACCAGUGGCGAAGGCGAGUCCCUGGACAACACCUGACACUGAGGCACGAAAGCUAGGGGAGCAAACAGG
rnacentral:rRNA from 1 species